UCCGGAUUAGCUCCGGCAGUCCUGUUAGAGUGCCCAACUAAAUGAUGGCAACUAAAGACGAGGGUUGCGCUCGUUGCGGGACUUAACCCAACAUCUCACGACACGAGCUGACGACAGCCAUGCAGCACCUGUGUGUAGGUCCCGUAAGGGAAGGAAUCCAUCUCUGGAAACCGUCCUACCAUGUCAAACGCUGGUAAGGUUCUGCGCGUUGCUUCGAAUUAAUCCGCAUGCUCCGCUGCUUGUGCGGGUCCCCGUCAAUUCCUUUGAGUUUUAGCCUUGCGGCCGUACUCCCCAGGCGGGGCACUUAAUGCGUUAGCGCCGGCACGGGGGGAGUCGACACCCCCCACACCUAGUGCCCAUCGUUUACGGCGUGGACUAC
rnacentral:misc_RNA from 1 species